GAUGAACGCUGGCGGCGUGCCUAAUACAUGCAAGUCGAGCGAAUGGAUUAAGAGCUUGCUCUUAUGAAGUUAGCGGCGGACGGGUGAGUAACACGUGGGUAACCUGCCCAUAAGACUGGGAUAACUCCGGGAAACCGGGGCUAAUACCGGAUAACAUUUUGAACCGCAUGGUUCGAAAUUGAAAGGCGGCUUCGGCUGUCACUUAUGGAUGGACCCGCGUCGCAUUAGCUAGUUGGUGAGGUAACGGCUCACCAAGGCAACGAUGCGUAGCCGACCUGAGAGAGGGAUCGGCCACACUGGGACUGGGAAACGGCCCAGGCUCCUACGGGAGGCAGCAGUAGGGAAUCUUCCGCAAUGGACGAAAGUCUGACGGAGCAACGCCGCGUGAGUGAUGAAGGCUUCCGGGUCGUAAAACUCUGUUGUUAGGGAAGAACAAGUGCUAGUUGAAUAAGCUGGCACCUUGACGGUACCUAACCAGAAAGCCACGGCUAACUACGUGCCAGCCGCCGCGGUAA
rnacentral:rRNA from 1 species